UGGGGAAUAUUGCACAAUGGGCGCAAGCCUGAUGCAGCCAUGCCGCGUGUAUGAAGAAGGCCUUCGGGUUGUAAAGUACUUUCAGUCGGGAGGAAGGUGUCAAGGUUAAUAACCUUGGCAAUUGACGUUACCGACAGAAGAAGCACCGGCUAACUCCGUGCCAGCAGCCGCGGUAAUACGGAGGGUGCAAGCGUUAAUCGGAAUUACUGGGCGUAAAGCGCACGCAGGCGGUUUGUUAAGUCAGAUGUGAAAUCCCCGGGCUCAACCUGGGAACUGCAUCUGAUACUGGCAAGCUUGAGUCUCGUAGAGGGGGGUAGAAUUCCAGGUGUAGCGAUGAAAUGCGUAGAGAUCUGGAGGAAUACCGGUGGCGAAGGCGGCCCCCUGGACGAAGACUGACGCUCAGGUGCGAAAGCGUGGGGAGCAAACAGG
rnacentral:rRNA from 1 species